rnacentral:rRNA from 1 species
UUUAAUUGAAGAGUUUGAUCAUGGCUCAGAUUGAACGCUGGCGGCAGGCCUAACACAUGCAAGUCGAGCGGCAGCGGGAGGAAGCUUGCUUCCUCGCCGGCGAGCGGCGGACGGGUGAGUAAUGUCUGGGAAACUGCCCGAUGGAGGGGGAUAACUACUGGAAACGGUAGCUAAUACCGCAUAACGUCGCAAGACCAAAGUGGGGGACCUUAGGGCCUCACACCAUCGGAUGUGCCCAGAUGGGAUUAGCUAGUAGGUGGGGUAAUGGCUCACCUAGGCGACGAUCCCUAGCUGGUCUGAGAGGAUGACCAGCCACACUGGAACUGAGACACGGUCCAGACUCCUACGGGAGGCAGCAGUGGGGAAUAUUGCACAAUGGGCGCAAGCCUGAUGCAGCCAUGCCGCGUGUGUGAAGAAGGCCUUCGGGUUGUAAAGCACUUUCAGCGAGGAGGAAGGCGUUGUAGUUAAUAACUGCAGCGAUUGACGUUACUCGCAGAAGAAGCACCGGCUAACUCCGUGCCAGCAGCCGCGGUAAUACGGAGGGUGCAAGCGUUAAUCGGAAUUACUGGGCGUAAAGCGCACGCAGGCGGUCUGUUAAGUCAGAUGUGAAAUCCCCGGGCUUAACCUGGGAACUGCAUUUGAAACUGGCAGGCUAGAGUCUCGUAGAGGGGGGUAGAAUUCCAGGUGUAGCGGUGAAAUGCGUAGAGAUCUGGAGGAAUACCGGUGGCGAAGGCGGCCCCCUGGACGAAGACUGACGCUCAGGUGCGAAAGCGUGGGGAGCAAACAGGAUUAGAUACCCUGGUAGUCCACGCUGUAAACGAUGUCGAUUUGGAGGUUGUGGCCUUGAGCCGUGGCUUCCGGAGCUAACGCGUUAAAUCGACCGCCUGGGGAGUACGGCCGCAAGGUUAAAACUCAAAUGAAUUGACGGGGGCCCGCACAAGCGGUGGAGCAUGUGGUUUAAUUCGAUGCAACGCGAAGAACCUUACCUACUCUUGACAUCCAGAGAACUUUCCAGAGAUGGAUUGGUGCCUUCGGGAACUCUGAGACAGGUGCUGCAUGGCUGUCGUCAGCUCGUGUUGUGAAAUGUUGGGUUAAGUCCCGCAACGAGCGCAACCCUUAUCCUUUGUUGCCAGCGGUUCGGCCGGGAACUCAAAGGAGACUGCCAGUGAUAAACUGGAGGAAGGUGGGGAUGACGUCAAGUCAUCAUGGCCCUUACGAGUAGGGCUACACACGUGCUACAAUGGCAUAUACAAAGAGAAGCGACCUCGCGAGAGCAAGCGGACCUCAUAAAGUAUGUCGUAGUCCGGAUUGGAGUCUGCAACUCGACUCCAUGAAGUCGGAAUCGCUAGUAAUCGUAGAUCAGAAUGCUACGGUGAAUACGUUCCCGGGCCUUGUACACACCGCCCGUCACACCAUGGGAGUGGGUUGCAAAAGAAGUAGGUAGCUUAACCUUCGGGAGGGCGCUUACCACUUUGUGAUUCAUGACUGGGGUGAAGUCGUAACAAGGUAACCGUAGGGGAACCUGCGGUUGGAUCACCUCCUUACC